GCUUUUGGGAAAGUUCCAGGGGAGCAUCUUGUCAAGACAGAAGAUGGAAAAACAAUUCAAGCAUCUAAAAAACAGAAUCAUCUCAUUAUUAAACCAAACCAUUUCUCAGCUAACCAAAAAGUAUGUGGAGCUCACGAAAUUGAAAACAAGAAUGCUAAAGCAAAUAUAUCAUGGCCAUCAAGGAAGCAGAGCCAAAAACCAAAUGCAAUUACCGAUGAAAUACUUAAGUGUUCUCCAUCCACCAUACAAAAUGAUGAAUUCCCCGAUUGGGAGAUUGUUUAGAUCUAUGGAAUAAAUGGCAUCAGUAAGCUAAUUUUAGUAUUGCCUUCCUUCUACAAGCAGAGGAAGUGAACACAAGGCAACUAAAUUCAUGUGAUGCUCCCAAUAAUAAUCCCACAAGGAUUUAUCCUGUAAUGCUAUGCUAGUCAUUUUGUAGCUUUCAGUGCUUUUCAA